AGUGAACGCUGGCGGUAGGCCUAACACAUGCAAGUCGAACGGCAGCACAGUAAGAGCUUGCUCUUACGGGUGGCGAGUGGCGGACGGGUGAGGAAUACUUCGGAAUCCACUUUUUCGUGGGGGAUAACGCAGGGAAACUUACGCUAAUACCGCAUACGACCUACGGGUGAAAGCAGGCGUUCUUCUGACUUUGUGCGAUUGAAUGAGCCGAUGUCGGAUUCGCUAGUUGGCGGGGUAAAGGGCCACCAAGGCGACGAUCCGUAGCUGGUCUGAAAGGAAGAUCCGACACACUGGAUCUGAGACUCGGCCCAGACUCCUACGGGGGGCCGCAGUGCGGAAUAUUGGACGAUGGGGGCGAGCCUGAUCUAGCCCUACCGCGUGGGUGCUGAAGCACUUCGGGCUGUAGAGCCAUUUUGUUGGGAGAGAUGUACAGCAGGUUAAUACCCCGCUGUAAUGACGGUACCCAAAGAAUAAGCACCGGCUAACUUCGUG
rnacentral:rRNA from 1 species